GUCUUUUUGAGUAAUAAUUUAAAGUCUAAUCUGCCCACUGAUAUAUAAUUAAAGGGCUGCAGUAUAUUGACUGUACAAAGGUAGCAUAAUCAUUAGUCUUUUAAUUGAAGACUUGUAUGAAAGAUUUGAUGAAAUAUAAACUGUCUCUAAGUUAUUAAUAAAAAUUAAUUUUUUAAUUAAAAAGUUAAAAUAAAAUAAAAAGACGAGAAGACCCUAUAGAGUUUUAUAAUAAUAAUUUUUUUAAUAAAAAUAUUUAAAUAAUAAUGUUGAAAUUUUGUUAUUAUUUUAUUGGGGUGAUAGAAAAAUUAAAUUAACUUUUUUUAAUAAAAUAACAUAAAUAAGUGAUUUUUUGAUCCAAUAAUAUUGAUUAAAAGAAAAAAUUACCUUAGGGAUAACAGCGUAAUUUUUUCUUUUAGUACAAAUAAAAGAAAAAGAUUGCGACCUCGAUGUUGGAUUAAGAUAAAAUUUAAAUGCAAAAGUUUAAAAUUUUGAUCUGUUCGAUCAUUAAAAUCUUACAU
rnacentral:rRNA from 1 species